rnacentral:tmRNA from 1 species
GUACUGGUUUCGACAGGGAUCAGGAGGCUUGAACUGCAUGCGGAAGACGGGUGUCCUUCCUAAAAAAUACCCACUAAAUUUAAUCGCUGAAGACGAUUACGCUCUUGCAGCCUGACCUUUAAGGUCAGUCCUGUUUCUCAUAAGAGAAUAAGCACGUAUGUAGCCCCCGGUUUUCGGUAACGCACACGUGUUAAAGCAAAGAAGACCAAAGGACGGGAUCUGCAGACUGCCCGCCCGGAUUUUCGGAUUCUGCCGGUCACCCGCAAGGCUGUCUGUCACUGAAAGCGGAUGGUCGUCAAAAAACAAUGACCGACUAAGCAUGUAGAUGUUCAUUCGGAUCGGUUUCUGGACACGGGUUCGACUCCCGUCUGGUCCA